rnacentral:lncRNA from 1 species
CGCGGGAUGCCGAAACCAGCCAAUGGGAAGCAGCGAGACGCGGAGAUUGGCACGGUGGAUGAGAAGAUUGAAAACAACUGGGUGCCAUGCUCAGGGAACCAGCAGCAGCUUAAUGAACAGUAACUCCCUCCAAGGCAGUGAUUCUCCAAUGUCAGUGCACAGCAGACCUGCCUGCAGGCUUCUGAAAAGCUCAGAUUGCUGGCCUUCCAGAGUUUCUGAUUCGUGAGAAAGAGGAAAGCUGGAGAAUUUGCCUGUCUAGCAGGUUCCCAGGUGUCGCUGUUGCUGUCAGACCAGGAAUCCCACUUUGAGAACUGCUGGCUCUAGGAACUCGAAAGGAGAAAUAUGAGGAUAAUUAAGAAGCAGAAACAAGUGGAGUAACAGCAAGUCAACCUCUACAUGGAAAAUGUUAAAUGCUUAUCAGAUAAGUUCUUUGCUGUCAGGCAGAGUCCAGUGGGGAAGGCUGACCACGAGCAGUAGUUCAGGAUGUUAGCCAUUAACUCAGGGACCUGCGGGAGCAAACAGGAGCACAGUGUUCUGGCUAGGUGGGGAAGAGGCUGGGAAGGCUUCCUGCAGAAAGGGAGGCCUGAGGAGUAAUUGCUGGGUUGACUCUUAAAAAAGGGCAGGUAUCCAGACAAAGGGAGGGCUUUCCAGGAGAAAGAACUAAAGAGGAGCUAUGGAGUUUUCAUGGAAAUUUUCAAGUCAUUCAAUUUUCUCAGAGGGGAGAGAGGCCAACGAGGUGGUGAUGACAACCGCAGAGGUAGGCAGGGGCUAGAUGAAGAAGGAACGUCAGAGCUGGUAAGGAGUCUGGCGAUAUUCUCAAGACCAUUAUUUGACAUGGAAUAUAAAGAACAAUUUAAUAAGUCUCCAUGAACCUCAGAGAUGAGAAGAGAGUACAGAACACAGCUAUCCCCAAUCCUUGUACUUCUUUCUCUGUAGUUAGGACUUCUCUACGAGGCUUACUCUGGUUUGCAGCUGAUGUCGAGGCCUUGCUAACUUUCUAGCCUACGUGUGAACAAAAUUCCCUUUCCUUUUAGUUUAGUUGAGAGCAUUUGGAGUUUCAUAAUGGGAAAUUUUUAAAGACUAGGCAAACAUAAAACCAAAGUGAAUAGAAUACAGAAUUUGGGUCUAGAGAUAAACAGACUCCUCUAGCUUGUCUUUCACUAGCUAUACAGUGUACUGCACGUUACGUCUUGUGCCAUAGUUUCUGUGUUUAAAUAGAGACUAAUUCCCUGACAAGAUCCAUAGAUCUUAGUAGUCUGGCCCCCACCUGCCUUUGUCAGCUUCAUCUUAUGUCCACUGAUCUUACUCUUUCUGCUCCAACUGCAUAAAUCUGCUUCAGUCUUGUUUUUCAUGCUCCCUUCUACCACAGGGCCUUUGUUCAUACUCUGUCUUCUGUCUGCAAUAGUUUUGUCUGCCUCUUCAGUAAUGCCUAGAUCUAGAUGUAAGGUCCACUCCCUCUAGGAAAUCCUUGAUCUCUCUGAAUAAGUAAAAAUCCCUCCUGUUUAUAGGGUUUUUUUUUUACUAUGAGGAACUUAUAUGAUAACACUUAAUAUUGUUAUUUGUGUCACUCUUUGCUUAAUGUUUCUCUUCUCCUAAACCAAGGGUCAGCAAACUAUUUCCACCUUUGGCCAGCAGUCUGGUUUUAUAAAUAAAGUUUUAUCGAGGGACUUCCCUGGUGGUUCAGUGGCUAAGACUCUGUGCUUCCAGGGCAGGGGGCCUAGGUUCAACCCCUGGUAGGGGGACCUAGAUCCUGCAUGCCACAAUUAAUUUGCAUGCCAAAACUAAAAAUAUCCCUCACGCUGCAAUGAAGAGCGAAGAUCCUGCAUGCCUCAACUAAGACCCGAUAGAGCUAAAUAAAUAAAUAAAUAUAUACACUUUUA